GCUGUAGCUUGGUGGUAGAACAUCUGCUUUGCAUGCAGAAGGUCCCAGGUUCAAUCCUGAGCAUCUCCA